UGCCAGCCGCCGCGGUAAUACGAAGGGUGCUAGCGUUGUUCGGAAUUACUGGGCGUAAAGAGCAUGUAGGCGGAUGAAUUAGUCAGAGGUGAAAGCUCAGGGCUCAACCCUGAAAUUGCAUCCGAUACUGCCUUGCUAGAGUAAUGGAGGGGAGUCUGGAAUUCACGGUGUAGCAGUGAAAUGCGUAGAUAUCGUGAGGAACACUAGUGGCGAAGGCGAGACUCUGGACAUCUACUGACGCUGAGGCACGAAGGCUAGGGUAGCGAAGCGGAUUAGAUA
rnacentral:rRNA from 1 species